rnacentral:sRNA from 1 species
CUAGCGCGCUUUUAACGACACACACGUUUCGUCACAUAAAGCGGGGUCCCCAUGUGGGGUGCUUUAUGGGAAGCGUGGAGGCAUAAC